GAGAACAGAUAACUGAAUCACAAAAACUCCUGUAUCACACUCUCUUUUUUCUCUCCUUCUCUUUUUCUUUUUCUCUUGAAAAUUUGCAUGCUUACUGAUGUUAUUUCUGUGUUUCCAUUGUGCAGGAGAGGACCGAUGUGAUUGUUUUAGUUGUGAUGACGACGAUGAUGCUAGAUCCAGCAGAAACAAAUUAUACAGUGAAGAUUUUGGUCAAUGAUAGAAUCGAGAUGAUGAGUCAAGUAGUGAAGGAGGAUCUAAUUCUCAUCUUGCAGUCACCAUCUUGAAUCCUUGAUCCCAGUUUAUUGAAGCAAGCAGUACAAGUUACCAAUAAAAUUUGAAGUUCACUUGAGCUCAUAUGACCACAAUCACAAAAAGGUAAACAGAUUCUCAUAAUGUCUUUUUAAGUUUAUCUUCCAGACUAGAAUGUUUGAUGUGAUACAUCGUAUUUUUUUUAUUGUGCAUAUAAGCAUCGAUUUUGCUUAAAUGGGUACUUACUUUUGCGUGAGGCUUGCACCAAUUUAAAAAAUAAUAGAAAAAUGCAGAGUAUUAGUAGUUGAGAUCGAAGUUUCAUGAGAAUUUCAGUACAGACAUUGAUAAUAGAAGAUCUGGAUAUGAAUACAAACGACCAAAGAGAUUGGAUUAGAGGAGAAAAGGAAGAAAUGGACUCACAUCUAGGUCCAUUAAUUAUUCAAAUGGUUGAACAAGAUCAUGGCUAAUGAGUAAGUUGCUGAGAUUGCAUAAGGUGAUUCCAAACACGCAAAGAGGUGGUGUAUUCUCUUAGUUGUAUUUUUCGCUACAUCAUGUUUUUGAUUCCUUUGUAAGAAAAUGUUCUUACAGAUGAUUCAGAGAAAUGUUCUGAGUUGUAUUUUUCACCACAUCUUACAUUAUAAAUAUUCUUACAUGUGAUUCUCUAAUUCUUUGCAGCAAUACUGCGCAAGCUUUUGAACAAAUAUGAGAUAAGUGUUUUAUUACUAGAUGUACCAGUAUUACAAUUUGAUGGAAUACAUAAAAGUAUAUAACGCUGAUAAGAAUUUUUUUUCACGAAUAAAAUGCAAACACAUGUGACAAAUUGGGCCUCUACACCUGAAACAAAUUGCUCAAUUUGCAUGUUCUCUCCAGAUCCGGUGUUAUCCAUGUUAAGAGCCUUGAAAAUAAUGCAACACACCAGUCGGUAGUAUGCAUUAUGUUCUCGCCGAUGCAUUAUGCAAAGUUAGAUUAUGAGAUCAGGUGGGGAACACGCAACACGGAGAUGACAAGAAUGGAUACGAUUGUUGUAUGUUAAUUCCAUUGCUUCCGUCUAUGACUCUAUAAUAAGUUACUCCGGGAUUGCGAAUGUUAAAAUAUUAAGAUACUCCUUGGGUUGUAUAAGAUUCAGUGCCCUCUCAAUAUCUCAAGUUUAGUUAUAAUUCAUUUUUUCAUUAAGGCUUUCUUCUUUGGGAGUAUGGUAAGUUAUCCAGCUUCUGGGAAUGUAGGUAUUAUGAAUGCUCCAAUUGAUUCGCUCAUUCUUAUAAUAACAUAUUUGAUACA